AGAGUUUGAUCAUGGCUCAGAACGAACGCUGGCGGCAUGCCUAACACAUGCAAGUCGAACGCUUUUGGGGUUUCGGCCUCAAGGGAGUGGCGCACGGGUGAGUAGCGCGUGGGAACCUGCCCUGUUGUGGGGGAUAACCGAGGGAAACUUCGGCUAAUACCGCAUGCGCCGGUUGUCUUGAGAGAGAUGGCCGGGAAAGAUUUAUCGCAGCAGGAGGGGCCCGCGUCGGAUUAGCUAGUUGGUGGGGUAACGGCCUACCAAGGCGUCGAUCCGUAGCUGGUCUGAGAGGAUGAUCAGCCACACUGGGACUGAGACACGGCCCAGACUCCUACGGGAGGCAGCAGUGGGGAAUAUUGGACAAUGGGCGCAAGCCUGAUCCAGCAAUGCCGCGUGAGUGAUGAAGGCCUUAGGGUUGUAAAGCUCUUUCGCCCGCGACGAUGAUGACGGUAGCGGGAGAAGAAGCCCCGGCUAACUUCGUGCCAGCAGCCGCGGUAAUACGAAGGGGGCGAGCGUUGUUCGGAUUUACUGGGCGUAAAGGGCGCGUAGGCGGCGGACCAAGUCGAGUGUGAAAGCCCCGGGCUCAACCUGGGAGGUGCGCUCGAGACUGGUUGGCUGGAGUUCGGGAGAGGAGCGUGGAAUUCCCAGUGUAGAGGUGAAAUUCGUAGAUAUUGGGAAGAACACCGGUGGCGAAGGCGGGCGCUCUGGACCGAGACUGACGCUGAGGCGCGAAGGCGUGGGGGAGCAAACAGGAUUAGAUACCCCUGUAGUCC
rnacentral:rRNA from 1 species